rnacentral:rRNA from 1 species
CUUUCCCUCUUUCUUCAGGCCUAACACAUGCAAGUCGAACGGUAACAGGAAGCAGCUUGCUGCUUUGCUGACGAGUGGCGGACGGGUGAGUAAUGUCUGGGAAACUGCCUGAUGGAGGGGGAUAACUACUGGAAACGGUAGCUAAUACCGCAUAACGUCGCAAGACCAAAGAGGGGGACCUUCGGGCCUCUUGCCAUCGGAUGUGCCCAGAUGGGAUUAGCUUGUUGGUGGGGUAACGGCUCACCAAGGCGACGAUCCCUAGCUGGUCUGAGAGGAUGACCAGCCACACUGGAACUGAGACACGGUCCAGACUCCUACGGGAGGCAGCAGUGGGGAAUAUUGCACAAUGGGCGCAAGCCUGAUGCAGCCAUGCCGCGUGUAUGAAGAAGGCCUUCGGGUUGUAAAGUACUUUCAGCGGGGAGGAAGGGAGUAAAGUUAAUACCUUUACUCACUGACGUUACCCGCAGAAGAAGCACCGGCUAACUCCGUG